rnacentral:rRNA from 1 species
UACGAAGGGGGCUAGCGUUGUUCGGAAUUACUGGGCGUAAAGGGCGCGUAGGCGGUGUGUCAAGUCAGGCGUGAAAGCCCCCGGGCUCAACCUGGGAACCGCGCUUGAGACUGGCACGCUCGAGUUCGGGAGAGGAUGGUGGAAUUCCCAGUGUAGAGGUGAAAUUCGUAGAUAUUGGGAAGAACACCGAUGCGAAGGCAGCCAUCUGGACCGACACUGACGCUGAGGCGCGAAAAGCU